AUUUCUAAACAUAUUAGUAGCUCUGAUGGAAUUUUCCCGAAUUCCUUGUUUUAAAAAUUGAUUCCCCGAAUUUAUUGUUUUAAAAAUAAAUAAAUAAAAUACUAAGUUCUAAUUGGAUAAAGCAGUUUACUGGCUACAGAACAAAGCAUUUGAAUUGGAGUUUACGCUAAAAAAAAUUGGAAGGUACUUCUUGCUACGCUCUCGGAGAAGUUCUCGGACAAGAUCAUGGACUCAUUUCUGGUUUAUUUGAUGACUGAAACGUCAGGGCUUUCUCAGAUGAUACAUUACGCAUGGCGUGUGAUGCAUGAUGAACAUCAGCAGAAGAUGUGCUGUGGCAGAGUAUAAUAAAUAUUGCAAAUUUUGCGCCGUGUUCGACUCCCAUGCAGAAAAUUUUGUCCCACCAAAAUAUGUUCCCACCAGUUUCUCCAUAUAUGGAUGACGUCUCAACUGCAAGAAAGAGCUUUUGGGGUGUGAAAAAGGUGCAAUAAUGAUGUUUUGGGAUUGUGCUUUCGCUAAUUUCUAUACAAUUCGACGUGUGAGCAUUUGUUUUGGUACUUCGACAAAUUUGCACGGUAGUAUAUUCUUCGGUGAGAAAAGCAAUAUAUAAUAAAAGAUUAAACAUUGAAACACAUUUCU